rnacentral:rRNA from 1 species
CCUACGGGAGGCAGCAGUGAGGAAUAUUGGUCAAUGGACGAGAGUCUGAACCAGCCAAGUAGCGUGAAGGAUGACUGCCCUAUGGGUUGUAAACUUCUUUUAUAUGGGAAUAAAAUGUUCCACGUGUGGGAUUUUGUAUGUACCAUAUGAAUAAGGAUCGGCUAACUCCGUGCCAGCAGCCGCGGUAAUACGGAGGAUCCGAGCGUUAUCCGGAUUUAUUGGGUUUAAAGGGAGCGUAGGUGGAUUGUUAAGUCAGUUGUGAAAGUUUGCGGCUCAACCGUAAAAUUGCAGUUGAAACUGGCAGUCUUGAGUACAGUAGAGGUGGGCGGAAUUCGUGGUGUAGCGGUGAAAUGCUUAGAUAUCACGAAGAACUCCGAUUGCGAAGGCAGUUCACUGGACUGCAACUGACACGGAGGCUCGAAAGUGUGGGUAUCAAACAGGAUUAGAUACCCCGGUAGUG